GGGAUUGAGGAGUGGUCAUUUCUCGCUUAUUUAAACUGCGAGAUGGGUGUUCGCCCAAGCCUGGUUACGACAAAUUGGGCACCCCAAUCUUUACCAUCUGAUCCC
rnacentral:snoRNA from 1 species